AAACCCCCUAGCGCGCGAAGUGCGGGGCCUCUGCUGCGGGCGGAGCAGCGCGGGUGGGAAGCCGCAGGGGCCCCGGUUGCAGCGGCUCGGGGUCGGCCGGGGGUGCGUCCCCACCAGACCCAGGACGGCUGCAGGAAGAAGCGACUCCGCUCGUAGCCCCCCGGGUUCAGGGGGCCGCGCCAGGAUCCAGAAGAGGGGGCGCGGCGCCUCGCCAGUGUCUGGGGCUCCGAGAAAGCUUCUUAGAGAGGCCGCACGCCCCCUCUGCCCAGUGUCCCCGCGCAGAGCGACCCCCGCCGCCAACACUCCCGCGGAAGACGCAGGACCCCGCCGGCUCGCGAGCCCAGCGCUGUCCGCCCGCCUUACUCACUGCUGCCUACCCAGGGCGGGCCCAGUGCCAGCUUCCAGGAGCUUGGAUCCUGGAUCAGGCAUGGGCCUAGGACCUAGAAACAGAAUCAUGAGAAAUAAAACAAGACAGUAUGGUUACGCCCAAGAAUA
rnacentral:antisense_RNA from 1 species